GUGGACGCGGUUGUUCUGGUCGCGAGCACAGGUGCUCGCGGUAUCUGGGCGGCGGACAUGUCAUCGGGAUGUGUAGCGUUAAAUUACCGAGGGAACCAGUCGAUCGUUUUUUAAUCGGGAGAACGGGAAAUACGGUAGAGGGAUAUGACGUACGCCGCGCCGGUGACGGAGCGCGCAGAUCCCGCCGUGACGGGAGGUCAUCAGAGCCGUGGCUCGGGACCGUGUUCUUCUCCUGACCCGUAGCUCAGGAAGUAGUUGGAUUUCCGGCAGGCGGCGGUGCGCAGGCUAGUAAAUGACAAGUGAGACUAAGGCGGAGCUGUCUCCCACCGCUUGCCACACUUGUUUGGAUCUCCAUUGACGCCUGGCGAAACCCUGAGCACCGGAGAUCGGUGGGGGAAGGAAUACACGGCGGCGCUAUCCGUAUGGAGUUCCUGAUGCAGCCCAUUAGGAGAUGUCAACGAGAAGGAGCUUCCAAUGGAGCCGCUGCACUACCCCGCGGUGGCGAUAGGGACUGCAGAGCUACCCCCAUGGCGACAGCCAGCGCCGAUAGGCAGAUGUGUGUGGCGGAAGGCGGGCUCGCAACGGAUGGGGAUGCUGAGCCGCAAGCAUGUGAGCAGGCUGGACUCGCAGGGUUAGGAUUGGAGCUGCUGCUCCAGGAAGGGCACCUUGCCCUAGGCGAACCAACACUCUUGAGAAGGCAAUAUGGGGGUUCGCUGACAAACCGGGCGACAUUGUAAUCAUGCUUGCACUGGGUACAAGCUUUGACACACUCGGGGAGGCCUAUGAUUUUUCCAAUCUCUACUCGUGGGAGAAGGGAUUUGGAAUAAGAUACAGGAAGAGUAUACUGAAUGUGGAGAGGACAAAAUGCAUGCAGGAAAUUGUUUGCGGCUGUGCGGGUAAAGCUGGGGUGGAGAACAGUAGAUCGUGCCAUGACUGCCCUGCAUUAAUAAGGUUGCUCCGCUCAAAGGCAAUGGUUGGUACAUAGCUGAGCAUCGUGAGCAACACACCCACUCGCUGUCUCCGACACAUGGGCACACAAUACACUGGCUUUCCCACAAGCACAUUGCUCCUCCACCAUGCCCUUCCCUCAAUCUCCCUAAGCCUCGUGGCAUUGCCAGCACAUCUCCGUUGAUAUGGACGACGACCCACUACCAAUCGCAACGACACAAGGCUGUAGAUCGGCAGCCGGUCGCUGAUAGGCUAUCAGAACUGGCAAGCAGUGUUCCAUCUCACAUUUUCGGCAUCUUCGUGGUUCCUUCUCCAAGAUUUGCCUCCCAGGCAUCAAAUCGACGGGGCCAAUCCCCUGGUGAGAAGGCUUUGGAUUGCCGGGGCCGCGUUCGCUUGCACCUUAGUUGGAUCUAUGUUUGCUUGCUAGACCAGUGAUCUCCGCCCCUUACUUCACAUAUGAUUCUCCUAACCUGGGGGCAGCAGUCAUUCUCUCCUCUCUGUUUUCUCACGUUUUCAAAGGGGAACUUGGUUUCACCAAUCUACAAGCUGGAGGAAGCUCACUGACUAUCGUUCUCCUAUUUUAUGAAAUGUCAAGCAAUUCAGUGUUCACCCCUGAAAUGACUAGGCACUCCAUGAGCUUUUAUUUUCUGUUUUCAGAAAACCAACCUGUAGAACUGACAACAUUCUUUUCUAUCAGCUAUAUAGAGAACAGUAUGGCAUUCAUCCAUGGAGGUUUAUGCACCAAAACUGUCCCCUUUUGCAACUUCAUCUCUAUUGGAAAUGCUAACACAAAAGGUGUAGGUGAAUUUGAGAUCCUUUUACCUCUGAUGCAUUUUCCCCUACUUUCAGUAGUUAAAUCAUUAGCCUUGACCUUGUCAUCCUAUGGACGUAGAAAUUAAUUCAACUCUCUAAGUACAUGUACUUUUCUAUGUUACUUUUCUACCUGACCAUAUUAUUUUAUAUGAUGCUUGCAAGAUGAUCUUCUAAUAUGUUUACUCAGUGAGGCUCCCACUCAUAACCUGAGUUGUUAUUGUAUUGGUGCCCUGCAAUGAUGUUAAAUCGAGCAACGUAAAUGAAUAUGUCCACUAUGUGGUACUCUUAUUCUUUGCUACUUGUUCACAAAUUGUUUGAUUGAUGCUUGAUGGAAAAAGCUAUUGUUCCUGGACUGAAUGAAGCUGAGAUAUUAUCAUAACUUAAACUUAUAUCAGUGAGAUGUAUAGAGAUUUAAAUGCUGAUUUAGUAAUUAUUUAUUUCUUGUGAUAUUGACAUGCCUUCUCUGAUGCUAAUCUGCAUGAAGUGUGAUACAAGUAUGGUGUUUCCAAUUGUAUGAGUGCUCUGAAGCAACAAUUAGGUAGCUGGAGGUGGAGGCAAAGAGUUCACUCCAAUUAGUUGUCACAGUUCGCCAUAUUGUACAUCUAGAGCUCUCUUAAUAUUGGAAGAAUAUAUAUGUGGAUAGCUCUUGUUGUGUCCUUGUUUGCUCACCAUUGUCUUUGAAUCGACUAUGAAUUAGAAUGCAUAACUAAGCAUGAUGACAGUGAUGCUGAAUUUAUUACAUUAGAAGAUAUAUAGGCUCAUGAUAACUGAAUAUGGAUGGCUGAAUAACAGACGGUUACUCACUUUAGUUUGUGACUUGAAAUAUAUCUCACGCAUUGCACAAAACCUUGCAUCUAAUCUAACUAUCAUGUGCCUCUGAAAAUAUAAGAACACUUGACUGCCACAGGUGUGACUCAUAUCAGUUAGUAUCAAAAUUUAAAUAACUAAUUUACCUUCACAUUUCCAUCUGACUUGGGCUUCAUAUAAUCUGUCAUUUAGUGUUGGGGUGCAUACCUUUUGCAUCAGUACAUCAGAAUUCCGGCAUUCUUCGGAUUGAGUUUAUUUCUAAACAUCUAACAGAAGAGCUCAAUGAAAAAUGACUUCGAUGCACACAUCUCACUGCAUAAUGAGAAAUUAUGGUCUUUUCAUUGUCUUUGUUUCUGCAUCUUUCUCCAAUUCCCUGAAAAUCUUUUAUGCUACUGUUUGACUAUAAUUUUUUCUUUUUCGUUCAGGUGUCAACAUUAAUUAAGCAACUUUGGUUUGGCUACAAAUGAUGUGCUGAAUUAACAUUGCUAAGCGAAUGCACUCUAUUAUUUUGGUAUGACUAACUAUAGGAACGAGGUUUCACUAGCAUGAAUAAUUUUUCCUGGUUGCACUACGUGAUUGAAUCCUUACUGGUAGUAGUUGGUUGUACCAUGUAAUUGGAUCUUUAUCAGUAGUAGUAGCAGAACUAAGUCAUGGAGCUCUGUGUUGAAAGUGCAAUCAUGCCCUUACAUUAUGUUUUGAUGUUGAUGACAAUAUACAUGUAGGGGACUAACAAUGGUUGUUAAGUAAAUCUCAGGUGUUAGUCCCCGGCUCA